rnacentral:rRNA from 1 species
UACGUAGGUGGCGAGCGUUGUCCGGAAUUACUGGGUGUAAAGGGCGUGUAGGCGGGAAUGCAAGUCAGAUGUGAAAUGCCGAGGCUUAACCUCGGAGCUGCAUCUGAAACUGCGUUUCUUGAGUGUCGGAGAGGAAAGUGGAAUUCCCAGUGUAGCGGUGAAAUGCGUAGAUAUUGGGAGGAACACCAGUGGCGAAGGCGACUUUCUGGACGAUAACUGACGCUGAGGCGCGAAAGCGUGGGGAGCAAACAGG